GGGCUCUGUUGCUCAAUUUUGAUUUCAGUAUAAUGGAAGGAAGCCUACAGUCUGACCUAUACAACUUUAUUCUUGCUUUACCCCUGGGGUCUAGGUUACAGUCUGAGCUCAGAUGCAUUUGGAUCAUGCAGGUUCUGCUGUGUCUCCAGGACCGAAUGCAGCUGUCUGUCCCCAGACUGAGCAUAGGAGACAUGCAGGAGGACAAUCUUCAGAGGAGCAACCCCGAGUGCCUAGUGAACAGCAAUAGCACGCACGUGCAGGUGGAGAUACCUCUUGAGAGGUGCGGCACCAGGAGGAAGUUGCUUGAAUUUAAAGGCAGCCAAAGAAGUGAUUUUAGAAGACUCCAAAGACAAGUUGUACAGCUUCCGGCUCUCCUCUGUAGCCAGUACUAUUCCUGAGGUGUUUGUCACCUGUGAUGUGAGACUGUGCUGCAGUCCAAGCAGGUUCAAUCUCUGUCCUGGGUGCCAGUCCUCUCAGAGCCACGGAACAUCAAAGCAGAUCUUGGAGACAAAGCUGUAUCGGAUCAGCACAGGACCCAUUCAGAUCACCAAGAACCCCACCAGUG
rnacentral:lncRNA from 1 species